rnacentral:rRNA from 1 species
GACGAACGCUGGCGGCGUGCUUAACACAUGCAAGUCGAACGGAAAGGCCUGCUUUCCCUUGUGGAUUGCGGGUACUCGCGUGGCGAACGGGUGAGUAACACGUGAGUGAUCUGCCCCCAACUUGGGUAUAAGCCUGGGAUACUGGGUCUAAUUCCCGAUAGGACUGCAGGGUGGUGUCUGUGGUGGAAAACGUUUUUCUAGUGGUUGGGGAUGAGCUCGCGGCCUAUCAGCUUGUUGGUGGGGUAAUGGCCUACCAAGGCGGCGCCGGGUAGCCGGCCUGAGAGGGCGGACGGGCACAUUGGGACUGAGAUACGGCCCAGACGCCUACGGGCGGCAGCAGUGGGGAAUAUUGCACGAUGGGCGGAAGCCUGAUGCAGCGACGCCGCGUGGGGGAUGACGGCCUUCGGGUGGUAAACUCCUUUCGACCGCGAGGAAGCCACCUGGUUGGAAGGGUGGUGACGGUAGUGGUAGAAGAAGCACCGGCUAACUACGUG